GACGUAGGGCGCGAGCGUUGUCCGGAUUUAUUGGGCGUAAAGAGCUCGUAGGCGGCUUGUCGCGUCGAAUGUGAAAACUCGGGGCUCAACCCCGCGCUUGCAUUCGAUACGGGCAGGCUCGAGUUCGGUAGGGGAGACUGGAAUUCCUGGUGUAGCGGUGAAAUGCGCAGAUAUCAGGAGGAACACCGGUGGCGAAGGCGGGUCUCUGGGCCGAUACUGACGCUGAGGAGCGAAAGCGUGGGGAG
rnacentral:rRNA from 1 species